rnacentral:rRNA from 1 species
UACGAAGGGGGCUAGCGUUGCUCGGAAUCACUGGGCGUAAGGGGCGCGUAGGCGGCCAUUCAAGUCAGAGGUGAAAGCCCAAGGCUCAACCUUGGAAUUGCCUUUGAUACUGUUUGGCUUGAGACCGGAAGAGGUUAGUGGAACUGCGAGUGUAGAGGUGAAAUUCGUAGAUAUUCGCAAGAACACCAGUGGCGAAGGCGGCUAACUGGUCCGGUUCUGACGCUGAGGCGCGAAAGCGUGGGGAGCAAACAGG